rfam:Brassica napus, WGS project CCCW01000000 data, contig: 19732
AAUCCGUGAUGAGGACACUUUCUGAGGGUAUCAUUAAACCGCUCCCACGCUUCACUAAAUGGUCCGUAAGCAAGCUGCUUGAACGAAGAGAUCUUGUUCCUUAAGGC